AAGGAUAAUCGGAAAGCGACAGUGACUUAGAUGUCAGUUCGUGAAGUUCAAAGUUUUGUUUAGUUUUGAGUGUGAUACUGAAAUAGGUAUCAUGUUCAGAAGUGAUCCUAUGGGGAAUUAGCUCAGCUGGGAGAGCACCUGCUUUGCAAGCAGGGGGUCAGCGGUUCGAUCCCGCUAUUCUCCAUAGCUAGUCGCAAGACUAGCGAGUUGCACAUUGAAAACUGAAUAGUAACAAAUUCUUUUAAAAACAAUCGUAAGAUUGUAAUAAAUGAACCGAGAAACAACACAAAAAAGUUCUUUAAUAAAGAACGGUUUAAUCGCAGGUCUGAGAAAUGACCAACUCAUAAACUUAAACAACAGUUUCGGCUGUUAG
rnacentral:tRNA from 1 species